GGAGAGGUGACAGAGUGGUCGAAUGUACCACGCUGGAAACGUGGCGUACGGGCAACCGUACCGGGAGUUCGAAUCUCCCCCUCUCCG
rnacentral:tRNA from 1 species